rnacentral:tRNA from 1 species
GGCCGAGUAGCUCAGUGGAUAGAGCAUCUGCCUUCUAAGCAGAUGGUCGGGAGUUCGAUUCUCUUCUCGGUCG